rnacentral:rRNA from 1 species
UACGAAGGGGGCUAGCGUUGCUCGGAAUCACUGGGCGUAAAGGGCGCGUAGGCGGCCUGAUCAGUCGGGGGUGAAAGCCUGUGGCUCAACCACAGAAUGGCCUUCGAUACUGUCGGGCUUGAGACCGGAAGAGGUAAGUGGAACUGCGAGUGUAGAGGUGAAAUUCGUAGAUAUUCGCAAGAACACCAGUGGCGAAGGCGGCAUCCUGGACCGACACUGACGCUGAGGAGCGAAAGCCAGGGAGCAACGGG